rnacentral:misc_RNA from 1 species
UAGAAUGCGAUAUGCAAUGUGAAUUGCAGAACCAUGAAUCAUUGGAUCUUUGAACGCAACUUGCACUGGUAUAACCAGUAUACUUGUUUCAGUGUGCUCAUCCAAAUUUACAAUCUCAAUGUGAGAGAAUUUCUCUCAUGAAGUAAAUGCUCCUGUAGCAGUCACAAUCAUUUGUGAACUACAGUGAAAUAAAAUAUCCAUAAUUCGCACCUGAAAUCAAGUAAGAUGACCCGCUGGACUUAA